GAUUUAGCUUUAUAGUCUCCCAGCGCUUCCAAUCAUGACUCUGUCGACUUAAACUUACUUGUGAAUACGUAGCGAAGAAGGAAGGGGCGACUGCCUGUUUGUGUGACAACUUCUAGUAGAAUAUUUCAUUACCCUACGGUUGUACACACUGAGGCAAGCUGUAGAAUACGAAAUUCUAUAUGUUAUUAUGUUGACACAAACUGACAAACCCCUUGACACGACUCGUAGCGUGCGUAGGAGGCCCGUUGCGCAGGCUAUUUGAGGAGAUUACACCUCGCAUCAUGAUUGGUUAUUUGAAAAGAAUUUGUAUAUUG